rnacentral:rRNA from 1 species
GGACUACCGGGGUAUCUAAUCCCGUUCGCUCCCCUCGCUUUCGCACCUGAGCGUCAGAAACGAGCCAGGACACUGCCUUCGCCUUUGGUGUUCUUCCGGAUCUCUACGCAUUUCACUGCUCCACCCGGAGUUCCGUGUCCCUCUCUCGCUCUCAAGUCCGCCAGUUUUCAAGGACCUUCACCAGUUAAGCUGGUGAUUGUCACCCUGAACUUAGCAGACCGCCUGCGUGCCCUUUACGCCCAAUAAAUCCGGACAACGCUCGCCCCCUACGUAUUACCGCGGCUGCUGGCAC